CUGCUGCCGGGCUGACUCAGGGAUCUGGAAGCAGGAGUGAGGCUCUCUCCAUCAAGCUGAAUAGACAGUGCCUAUUCCACACUCUGCUGCCUGUCUUUGCGUCCAACGCUAUAUUUAGAAGGAGGAGGGAGAAAGAAAGAAAGAAA